GACGGGGCCCGCACAAGCGGUGGAGUAUGUGGUUUAAUUCGAUGCAACGCGAAGAACCUUACCUGGUCUUGACAUCCCGGAGACCCUUAGGAAACUAGGGGGUGCUUCCAUCUGGAAGAAUCUGGAGACAGGUGCUGCAUGGCUGUCGUCAGCUCGUGUCGCGAGAUGUUGGGUUAAGUCCCGCAACGAGCGCAACCCUUGCCUUUAGUUGCCAGCAGUUCGGCUGGGCACUCUAAAGGGACUGCCGGUGUUAAACCGGAGGAAGGUGGGGAUGACGUCAAGUCCUCAUGGCCUUUAUGACCAGGGCUACACACGUACUACAAUGGCCGAUACAAAGGGCAGCGACACUGCGAGGUGAAGCCAAUCCCGUAAAAUCGGUCUCAGUCCGGAUUGGAGUCUGCAACUCGACUGCGUGAAGUCGGAAUCGCUAGUAAUCGUGAAUCAGAAUGUCACGGUGAAUACGUUCCCGGGCCUU
rnacentral:rRNA from 1 species